UCUGGAGACAGACCUUUGGCAGAAGACGGAAGGGAACGGGAAGCUAGGUCAUGCGCGGAGGAGGUGAUCCCAUCCCCCGUGGUCUUCCGGACCUUGCCCCCACCCUUCAAAGGUGACCAUGCUCCUCGGCUGUUGCAACCAGAGGUUUCUCUCCCCGCAGGCCCAGGGGCCCCCUGCUCGUGAAGCCGGCACAGGCAAACAUGGGAGCACACGGAAGGAUUUCAGAUGCGGGAAGCAAAGUUUGACAGAAGUAAACGGGGACAGUUGACCCCCCGGGGCAGCCGGCCCCCCACGGCCUCAGCACUUGUUAGAACGAGUUGUCAACACCACAGGCCCCUUUUGUCAGAACACCAAGGGUGACAGCAGGCAGAGGUGGUGUCGGGGACACAGCGUGAAGGCCUGAGGACAGGAAAGCCGGCCUCCACGGCGCUGUCCACCUGGGCCAGCUCCUCCUCCGUCACCUCCCGCUCCAGGGCCCGGAUGCAGCGCUCCAGCCACCUUCCGUGCUCCCUGAUGGCAUCCAGGGCGGGGCC